rnacentral:rRNA from 1 species
UACGGAGGGGACUAGCGUUGUUCGGAAUUACUGGGCGUAAAGCGCACGUAGGCGGAUUUGUAAGUCAGGGGUGAAAUCCCGGGGCUCAACCUCGGAACUGCCUUUGAUACUGCAAAUCUCGAGUCCGGAAGAGGCGAGUGGAAUUCCUGGUGUAGCGGUGAAAUGCGCAGAUAUCAGGAGGAACACCGAUGGCGAAGGCAGCCCCCUGGGUCAACACUGACGCUCAGGCACGAAAGCGUGGGGAGCAAACAGG